CCUACGGGUGGCAGCAGUCGAGAAUCAUUCACAAUGGGGGAAACCCUGAUGGUGCGACGCCGCGUGGGGGAAUGAAGGUCUUCGGAUUGUAAACCCCUGUCAUGUGGGAGCAAAUUAAAAAGAUAGUACCACAAGAGGAAGAGACGGCGAACUCGGUCCCAGCAGCCGCGGUAAUACAGGGGUCUCAAGCGUUGUUCGGCAUCACUGGGCGUAAAGCGUGCGUAGGCUGUUUCGUAAGUCGUGUGUGAAAGGCGCGGGCUCAACCCGCGGACGGCACAUGAUACUGCGAGACUAGAGUAGUCGAGGGGGAACCGGAAUUCGCGGUGUAGCAGUGAAAUGCGUAGAUAUCGAGAGGAACACUCGUUGCGAAGGCGGGUUCCUGGACAUUAACUGACGCUGAGGCACGAAGGCCAGGGGAGCGAAAGGGAUUAGAUACCCGGGUAGUC
rnacentral:rRNA from 1 species